rnacentral:rRNA from 1 species
CCUACGGGAGGCAGCAGUGAGGAAUAUUGGUCAAUGGGCGGGAGCCUGAACCAGCCAAGCCGCGUGAGGGAAGAAGGUACAGCGUAUCGUAAACCUCUUUUGUCAGGGAACAAAGGCGGGGACUAGUCCCCGGAUGAGGGUACCUGAAGAAAAAGCAUCGGCUAACUCCGUGCCAGCAGCCGCGGUAAUACGGAGGAUGCGAGCGUUAUCCGGAUUUAUUGGGUUUAAAGGGUGCGCAGGCGGCCUGUUAAGUCAGCGGGAAAAGCCCGGGGCUCAACCCCGGCGAGCCGUUGAAACUGGUGGGCUGGAGUUGGAGAGAAGUACGCGGAAUGCGCGGUGUAGCGGUGAAAUGCUUAGAUAUCGCGCAGAACCCCGAUUGCGAAGGCAGCGUACCGGCUCCACACUGACGCUGAGGCACGAAAGCGUGGGUAUCGAACAGGAUUAGAUACCCGAGUAGUC